rnacentral:rRNA from 1 species
GAUGAACGCUGGCGGCGUGCCUAAUACAUGCAAGUCGAGCGAACAGACGAGGAGCUUGCUCCUCUGACGUUAGCGGCGGACGGGUGAGUAACACGUGGAUAACCUACCUAUAAGACUGGGAUAACUUCGGGAAACCGGAGCUAAUACCGGAUAAUAUAUUGAACCGCAUGGUUCAAUAGUGAAAGACGGUUUUGCUGUCACUUAUAGAUGGAUCCGCGCCGCAUUAGCUAGUUGGUAAGGUAACGGCUUACCAAGGCAACGAUGCGUAGCCGACCUGAGAGGGUGAUCGGCCACACUGGAAGGGAGACACGGUCCAGAGGCCUGCGGGAGGGAGCAGAAGGGAAUCUUCCGCAAUGGGCGAAAGCUUGACGGAGCAACGCCGCGUGAGUGAUGAAGGUCUUCGGAUCGUAAAACUCUGUUAUGAGGGAAGAACAAAUGUGGAAGUAACUAUGCACGUCUUGACGGUACCGAAUCAGAAAGCCACGGCUAACUACGUG